UUCCGGUUGAUCCUGCCGGACCUGACUGCUAUCGGAUUGAUACUAAGCCAUGCGAGUCAUUGUAGCAAUACAAGGCAGACGGCUCAGUAACGCGUAGUCAACCUAACCUAUGGACGGGAAUAACCUCGGGAAACUGAGAAUAAUGCCCGAUAGAACACUAUACCUGGAAUGGUUUGUGUUCCAAAUGAUUUAUCGCCGUAGGAUGGGACUGCGGCCUAUCAGUUUGUUGGUGAGGUAAUGGCCCACCAAGACUAUUACAGGUACGGGCUCUGAGAGGAGUAGCCCGGAGAUGGGUACUGAGACACGGACCCAGGCCCUAUGGGGCGCAGCAGGCGAGAAAACUUUGCAAUGUGCGAAAGCACGACAAGGUUAAUCCGAGUGGUUUGUGCUAAACGAACCUUUUGUCGGUCCUAGAAACACCGAUGAAUAAGGGGUGGGCAAGUUCUGGUGUCAGCCGCCGCGGUAACACCAGCCCCUCGAGUGGUCAGGAUGAUUAUUUGGCCUAAAGCAUCCGUAGCCGGCGCUGUAAGUUUUCGGUUAAAUCUGUACGCUCAACGUACAGGCUGCGGGAGAUACUACACGGCUAGAGAGUGGGAGAGGUCAGCGGUAUUCUG
rnacentral:rRNA from 1 species